AAGCCAACCCUAGCCCAACCAAACCUGACCCGCAAAUAAAACAAUCUACCUUUAAACCCAAACCAAAACAUUUUCAAGUCUAAGUAUAGGAGAUAGAAAAGACACUUGGAGCGAUAGAUUCCUUGUACCGUAAGGGAAAGAUGAAAUAACAGUGAAAAUCAAAGCACAAAACAGCAAAGAUUAACCCUUGUACCUUUUGCAUCAUGGUCUAGCAAGAACAACCAAACAAAAAGAACCUGAAGUUUGCCACCCCGAAACCCGAGCGAGCUACCAAAAAGCAGCCAGCCAUGGGCGAACCCGUCUCUGUAGCAAAAGAGUGGGAUGACUUCUUGGUAGAGGUGAAAAGCCAACCGAGCCGGGUGAUAGCUGGUUGCCCGUGAGACGAAUCUAAGUUCUACCUUAAUUUAACUUUAAAGGUACCCUGAUACUCCCACGUAGAAAUUAAGAGCUAAUUAAAGGAGGUACAGCUCCUUUAAAAAAGAGUACAAUCUUUAACAUAGGAUAAGCAACCUUUAACUUGUAACUUGUAGGCCUUUAAGCAGCCAUCAAUAAAGAAUGCGUCAAAGCUCAGUAAAAUUAAAAAUAUAAGAACUAUGCGACUCCCUAAUCACAAACGGGCCAACCUAUGAUCAUAGGAGAAUUAAUGCUAGAAUAAGUAACUAAGGAAUAAUCCUCUAGAGCACAAACUUACAUCAUGACAUUAUUAACAUAAAAAUUAAUACCACACGGCCAGACAAGACCUAACAUUAACUAACCAUUGUUAAUCCAACUCAGGAGUGCCCAAAUAGAAAGAUUAAAACCUACAAAAGGAACUAGGCAAGCACAGGGCCCGACUGUUUACCAAAAACAUAGCCUUUAGCUAACCAAGUAUUAGAGGUGAUGCCUGCCCAGUGACACUAAGUUCAACGGCCGCGGUAUCCUAACCGUGCAAAGGUAGCGCAAUCAAUUGUCUCAUAAAUCGAGACUUGUAUGAACGGCUAAACGAGGCCUCAACUGUCUCUUGUAGGUAAUCAGUGAAAUUGAUCUCUGCGUGCAAAAGCGCAGAUACACCCAUAAGACGAGAAGACCCUGUGGAACUUAAAAAUCAACAACCACCAUCCACCUCUCACUAACCUAACAGGUGUACAAUCAAUUUGGCUGGUUGAUAUUUUUCGGUUGGGGCGACCUUGGAGAAAACCAACCCUCCAAAAAUAAGACCAACCCUCUUGACUAAGAGCAACACCUCAAUGUGCCAACAGUACCCAGACCCAGUACAACUGACCAAUGAACCAAGCUACCCCAGGGAUAACAGCGCAAUCCCCUUCAAGAGCCCAUAUCGACAAGGGGGUUUACGACCUCGAUGUUGGAUCAGGACAUCCUAAUGGUGCAGCCGCUAUUAAGGGUUCGUUUGUUCAACGAUUAAUUAGUCCUACGUGAUCUGAGUUCAGACCGGAGCAAUCCAGGUCGGUUUCUAUCUAUGACCCCUCCUUCCCUAGUACGAAAGGACCGGGAAAGAAAGGCCAAUGCCACCAGCACGCCUUCCCAUAAAAUAAUGAACAAAUCUAAAUUAUUAAAGGGGCCCCAAAAAAAUCCUAGACAAGGACAG
rnacentral:rRNA from 1 species